rnacentral:rRNA from 1 species
AACGAACGCUGGCGGCAGGCCUAACACAUGCAAGUCGAGCGAGGACUUCGGUCCUAGCGGCGGACGGGUGAGUAACGCGUGGGAACGUGCCCUUUUCUUCGGAAUAGCCCUGGGAAACUGGGAGUAAUACCGGAUGAGCCCUUUGGGGGAAAGAUUUAUCGGCGAAGGAUCGGCCCGCGUUGGAUUAGGUAGUUGGUGGGGUAAUGGCCUACCAAGCCGACGAUCCAUAGCUGGUUUGAGAGGAUGAUCAGCCACACUGGGACUGAGACACGGCCCAGACUCCUACGGGAGGGAGCAGUGGGGAAUCUUAGACAAUGGGGGAAACCCUGAUCUAGCCAUGCCGCGUGAGCGAUGAAGGCCUUAGGGUUGUAAAGCUCUUUCAGCUGGGAAGAUAAUGACGGUACCAGCAGAAGAAGCCCCGGCUAACUCCGUG